AUACAAUUACAUGAUGAUUGCAUAGUUCAACUGAAAUUAUCUUGACGAUUCCUUAAUAUUGUCUUUCGCUCCUAUCUGAUAUCGUUU
rnacentral:snoRNA from 1 species